rnacentral:rRNA from 1 species
CCUACGGGAGGCAGCAGUGAGGAAUAUUGGUCAAUGGACGCAAGUCUGAACCAGCCAUGCCGCGUGCAGGAAGACGGCUCUAUGAGUUGUAAACUGCUUUUGUACGAGGGUAAACGCAGAUACGCGUAUCUGUCUGAAAGUAUCGUACGAAUAAGGAUCGGCUAACUCCGUGCCAGCAGCCGCGGUAAUACGGAGGAUUCAAGCGUUAUCCGGAUUUAUUGGGUUUAAAGGGUGCGUAGGCGGUCGGAUAAGUUAGAGGUGAAAUCCCGAGGCUCAACUUCGGAAUUGCCUCUGAUACUGUUCGGCUAGAGAGUAGUAGCGGUAGGCGGAAUGUAUGGUGUAGCGGUGAAAUGCUUAGAGAUCAUACAGAACACCGAUUGCGAAGGCAGCUUACCAAGCUACUUCUGACGUUGAGGCACGAAAGCGUGGGUAGCAAACAGGAUUAGAUACCCCAGUAGUC